AGCGAACGCUGGCGGCAGGCCUAACACAUGCAAGUCGAACGAACUCUUCGGAGUUAGUGGCGGACGGGUGAGUAACACGUGGGAACGUGCCUUUAGGUUCGGAAUAACUCAGGGAAACUUGUGCUAAUACCGAAUGUGCUCUUCGGGGGAAAGAUUUAUCGCCUUUAGAGCGGCCCGCGUCUGAUUAGCUAGUUGGUGAGGUAAAGGCUCACCAAGGCGACGAUCAGUAGCUGGUCAGAGAGGAUGAUCAGCCACAUUGGGACUGGGACACGGCCCAAACUCCUACGGGAUGCAGCAGUGGGGAAUCUUGCGCAAUGGGCGAAAGCCUGACGGAGCCAUGCCGGGUGAAUGAUGAAGGUCGUAGGAUUGUAAAAUUCUUUCACCGGGGACGAUAAUGACGGUACCCGGAGAAGAAGCCCCGGCUAACUUCGUG
rnacentral:rRNA from 1 species